rnacentral:misc_RNA from 1 species
UUUCCGUAGGUGAACCUGCGGAAGGAUCAUUAUUGAAUGAACUUGGUGUGGUUGUAGCUGGCCCUCUCGUCGGGGGCAUGUGCACACCCGCCAUCUUUAUCUCUCCACCUGUGCACAUCUUGUAGACCUGGAUAGACUUUCCGAGGCAACUCGGUCGGGAGGACCGCUGUGCGUCACUGCCGGCUUUCCUUGCAUAUCUAGGCCUAUGUUUUCAUAUACCCCAUAGUAUGUAACAGAAUGUACCAUUGGGCCUCGUGCCUAUAAACUAUAUACAACUUUCAGCAACGGAUCUCUUGGCUCUC